AUUGAACGCUGGCGGAAUGCUUUACACAUGCAAGUCGAACGGCAGCACGGACUUCGGUCUGGUGGCGAGUGGCGAACGGGUGAGUAAUACAUCGGAACGUGCCCAGUCGUGGGGGAUAACGUAGCGAAAGCUACGCUAAUACCGCAUACGAUCUAAGGAUGAAAGCGGGGGAUCGCAAGACCUCGCGCGAUUGGAGCGGCCGAUGGCGGAUUAGGUAGUUGGUGGGGUAAAGGCUCACCAAGCCGACGAUCUGUAGCUGGUCUGAGAGGACGACCAGCCACACGGGGACUGAGAGACGGCCCAGACUCCUACGGGAGGCAGCAGUGGGGAAUUUUGGACAAUGGGCGCAAGCCUGAUCCAGCCAUUCCGCGUGCAGGAUGAAGGCCCUCGGGUUGUAAACUGCUUUUGUACGGAACGAAAAGGCUCUGGUUAAUACCUGGGGCUCAUGACGGUACCGUAAGAAUAAGCACCGGCUAACUACGUGCCAGCCGCCGCGGUAA
rnacentral:rRNA from 1 species